GACGAACGCUGGCGGCGUGCUUAACACAUGCAAGUCGAACGGUAAGGCUCCAGCUUGCUGGGGUACACGAGUGGCUAACGGGUGAGUAACACGUGGGUGACCUGCCCUGCACUUCGGGAUAAGCCUGGGAAACUGGGUCUAAUACCGGAUAGGACCAUGGUGUGGAUACUGUGGUGGAAAGUUUUUUCGGUGUGGGAUGGGCCCGCGGCCUAUCAGCUUGUUGGUGGGGUAAUGGCCUACCAAGGCGGCGACGGGUAGCCGGCCUGAGAGGGUGGACGGCCACAUUGGGACUGAGACACGGCCCAGACUCCUACGGGAGGCAGCAGUGGGGAAUAUUGCACAAUGGGCGGAAGCCUGAUGCAGCGACGCCGCGUGGGGGAUGACGGCCUUCGGGUUGUAAACUCCUUUCACCAUCGACGAAGGGUUUCUGACGGUAGAUGGAGAAGAAGCACCGGCUAACUACGUG
rnacentral:rRNA from 1 species